rnacentral:rRNA from 1 species
CCAAUAGCGUAUAUUAAAGUUGUUGCAGUUAAAAAGCUCGUAGUUGAAUUUCGGGAUCAGUACGCUGGUCGUGCCUCGGUAUGUACUGGUGUUACUGGUUCCUACCUUCUGACGAACCGUCAUGUCAUUAAUUUGGUGUGGCGGGAAAUCAGGACUGUUACUUUGAAACAAUUAGAGUGUUUAAAGCAGGCUCGCGCUUGAAUACAUUAGCAUGGAAUAAUGAAAUAGGACGUUCGAUCCUAUUUUGUUGGUUUCUAGGAUUGACGUAAUGAUUAAUAGGGAUAGUUGGGGGCAUUAGUAUUCAAUUGUCAGAGGUGAAAUUCUUGGAUUUAUUGAAGACUAACUACUGCGAAAGCAUUUGCCAAGGAUGUUUUCAUUAAUCAAGAACGAAAGUUAGGGGAUCGAAGACGAUCAGAUACCGUCGUAGUCUUAACCAUAAACUAUGCCAACUAGGGAUCGGAUGAUGUUAUUUUUAAUGACUCAUUCGGCGCCUUACG